rnacentral:rRNA from 1 species
UAGCGACAGGCUUAACACAUGCAAGUCGAGGGGCAGCACAGGUAGCAAUACCGGGUGGCGACCGGCGCACGGGUGAGUAACGCGUAUGCAACUUGCCUAUCAGAGGGGGAUAACCCGGCGAAAGUCGGACUAAUACCGCAUGAAGCAGGGAUCCCGCAUGGGAAUAUUUGCUAAAGAUUCAUCGCUGAUAGAUAGGCAUGCGUUCCAUUAGGCAGUUGGCGGGGUAACGGCCCACCAAACCGACGAUGGAUAGGGGUUCUGAGAGGAAGGUCCCCCACAUUGGUACUGAGACACGGCCCAAACUCCUACGGGAGGCAGCAGUGGGGAAUAUUGGGCAAUGGACGCAAGUCUGACCCAGCAACGCCGCGUGAAGGAAGAAGGCUUUCGGGUUGUAAACUUCUUUUGUCAGGGAACAGUAGAAGAGGGUACCUGACGAAUAAGCCACGGCUAACUACGUGCCAGCAGCCGCGGUAAUACGUAGGUGGCAAGCGUUGUCCGGAUUUACUGGGUGUAAAGGGCGUGUAGCCGGAGAGACAAGUCAGAUGUGAAAUCCGCGGGCUCAACCCGCGAACUGCAUUUGAAACUGUUUCCCUUGAGUAUCGGAGAGGUAACCGGAAUUCCUAGUGUAGCGGUGAAAUGCGUAGAUAUUAGGAGGAACACCAGUGGCGAAGGCGGCUUUCUGGACUGUUACUGACACUGAGGCACGAAAGUGUGGGGAGCAAACAGGAUUAGAUACCCUGGUAGUCCACACCGUAAACGAUGAGCACUAGGUGUCGGGGUCGCAAGACUUCGGUGCCGCAGUUAACGCAUUAAGUGCUCCGCCUGGGGAGUACGUACGCAAGUAUGAAACUCAAAGGAAUUGACGGGGACCCGCACAAGCAGCGGAGCAUGUGGUUUAAUUCGAAGCAACGCGAAGAACCUUACCAGGACUUGACAUCCCUCUGAAACCCCUGAUAGCGAAGGGCCCUCUUCGGACAGAGGUGACAGGUGGUGCAUGGUUGUCGUCAGCUCGUGUCGUGAGAUGUUGGGUUAAGUCCCGCAACGAGCGCAACCCUUGCUGUUAGUUGCCAUCAUUGAGUUGGGCACUCUAAAGGGACUGCCGGGGAUAACUCGGAGGAAGGUGGGGAUGACGUCAAAUCAUCAUGCCCCUUAUGUUCUGGGCUACACACGUGCUACAAUGGUCGGUACAAAGAGCAGCAAGACCGUGAGGUGGAGCAAAUCUCAAAAACCGAUCCCAGUUCGGAUUGCAGGCUGCAACUCGCCUGCAUGAAGUUGGAGUUGCUAGUAAUCGCGAAUCAGAAUGUCGCGGUGAAUGCGUUCCCGGGUCUUGUACACACCGCCCGUCACACCACGGAAGUUGGGGGUGCCCAAAGUUGGUCAAUAAAUAGAUUACCUAAGGCAAAACCAAUGACUGGGGUGAAGUCAUAA